rnacentral:rRNA from 1 species
UACGUAGGGAGCAAGCGUUGUCCGGAAUCAUUGGGCGUAAAGCGCGCGUAGGCGGCCCUGUAAGUCCGUUGUGAAAGUCAAAGGCUCAACCUUUGAAAGCCGAUGGAUACUGCAGGGCUAGAGUCCGGAAGAGGCGAGUGGAAUUCCUGGUGUAGCGGUGGAAUGCGCAGAUAUCAGGAGGAACACCAAUAGCGAAGGCAGCUCGCUGGGACGGUACUGACGCUAAGGCGCGAAAGCCAGGGGAGCAAACGGG